rnacentral:lncRNA from 1 species
UGUUGGAUGUUUAAAUUAAGAAGGGCUUGACUCAGAGAACGCAAAUUGCAGUGGAUUAGAAGGCCCUGGAUUUGUAGUUCUGAGACUUUUAGUAUUCUGAGUACAUGUUAUAAAUGUGCUACCAAGUUCUACUUUGCUGUUGACCUGUACUGUUCCGAGGACUAACCUCAUAGCGGUUAGUGUAUUUCCGUUUUAUGCUCAUAAGUAUGUAGGGCUUCUUUGUAAUUCUGGGUAAAUAGAAAGAGGGGCCUAUAUGGAUUAGUGACAAUAUGUGUACCUGUGUGUAAAGUGAAUAUAUAGUUCUCCUGAAUUUGUCAUAAGAGAAAUGAAAUUUGUAACUAUGUUCCCAGGUCCCUAUAUACUAAACUGGACUCUGGCAACCAUUUCU